rnacentral:rRNA from 1 species
UGGGGAAUAUUGCACAAUGGGCGCAAGCCUGAUGCAGCCAUGCCGCGUGUGUGAAGAAGGCCUUCGGGUUGUAAAGCACUUUCAGCGGGGAGGAAGGCGUUAAGGUUAAUAACCUUGGCGAUUGACGUUACCCGCAGAAGAAGCACCGGCUAACUCCGUGCCAGCAGCCGCGGUAAUACGGAGGGUGCAAGCGUUAAUCGGAAUUACUGGGCGUAAAGCGCACGCAGGCGGUUGAUUGAGUCAGAUGUGAAAUCCCCGGGCUUAACCCGGGAAUUGCAUCUGAUACUGGUCAGCUAGAGUCUUGUAGAGGGGGGUAGAAUUCCAUGUGUAGCGGUGAAAUGCGUAGAGAUGUGGAGGAAUACCGGUGGCGAAGGCGGCCCCCUGGACGAAGACUGACGCUCAGGUGCGAAAGCGUGGGGAGCAAACAGG